UACAAGGCUGUGUGUCAGGGGGGCUCCACGGGCGUCUCCACAGUGUGGAGGAGAGUCUGCUCUCCAACCAGGAGAAGAUCAAGGUCCUCCUCAAUGUUAUCCAAGACCUGGAGAAGAGCAAGGCACUCAGCGAAGGGCGCUGCUCAUACAGAACUGGACAGGACAUCAACAACUGUCCCACCUGUCAGAAGACUGCCUGCAUUAUCUACAGACACACCGACACACACAGAGAGAGACCUCAGCCUUAAACUUUCAAGCCAAACUUGCCACAGAAACACUCAACCUCCACUACAAUAUGACCUGAAGCACUUGAGAGAGAAGAAUGAAAAGAGAGAGAGAGAAGAGAGAGAGAGAGAGAAAAGAGAGAGAGAGAGAAAAGAGAGAGGGAGAAAAAAGAGAGGGAGAAAAGAGAGAGGGAGAAAAGAGAGAGAGAAAGGAGAGAGAUGAUGAGUCAAGGGGAGGGAUUGCUUUGAAAACAUCUCAGGGGAACGAAGUAUUUCCCUCAGCCCUCUGUUUUAGUUUCAACACUUUAAGAUGACUCUCCUUCUCUCAUCUCUCUCUCUUUCUCUCUUCUCCUACUCCUCUCAUCUCUCUCUCUUUCUCUCUUCGCCUACUCCUCUCAUCUCUCCAGCCUGUGAUGUAGUGGUGCAUGAAGUGCAAGAAUGCUGUGAACGUGAAUCGAUUUCAGAGAGUGUGUGUGUCUGUCUGAUUAAGUGUGCACUUGCAUCGGCACAUGGUACUUACGAGUGUGGAGCAUGACUUUCGGCAGCAGGAGGGGAGGUUCCAGCCAGUGAUGGAGACUCUAGACAGGGAAUAUGAUUUUCCCCUCCCUGUCCCCAAAACUGCCCCCUCCCACCCGAACACCAAGACCCUCGUCAAGAAGCUACGCAAGAAGUGUUUCUGGUGGCUGUAGACACACACAGACACACUCGCCCACACACAGCCAUCGUCGGCGCCAUGAAGACAUUCCAGACUGCUGUUACCAUGGGGAUUGGACAGGUGUGUGUCUAUGGACCAUGGGGACUGCUCCUGUUUCAUUGUUGUUGCUAUGGGAACUGUACACCUGUUAUGGUAUCUAUGGAGAUCUAUGGUUCAUCUCUGACAUGGUUGGAGAACGAACAGUACAUCAGCCCACAACUAUGGACUGAUUGAUAAGGUUACUUGAACCUAAAGUCUUGGGACAGUUACUGAGCUAUGGAUUUAGGAGAGACACUAAACUUUGACAAGAGUUCAGUCUAGAAGGCUAUGACAGCGGUGACCUUUCCUUAGUUCUAACAUCUGUUGGAUUUGAAUUCAUAGUUGAUGGACAUUGUCACAGUGGAAAGAGGAACUCUCCUACCUAAACAGAGACAAUUCCAUCAUCAAGCCCUUUAGAGAGUGACAACCAUUCAACCAAUCAACAGUCUCCCAUACUUGACUGACAAAGCGAGGAUCCAUUCAGGAUUCUCCCUCCUAGUGUACCAAACACAAAGACAAUAAUAACCACUCCACUCUACGAGCUUCCACUCUUCCACAAUGCUAUUGGUUAUAACCCAAGCUCAACCAAUUAGAAUCAGCCUUUGCUUCUAAGACCACGCCCUAUUUACUGUUUAACCAAUCAUCAGCACCAGACCCUAACCUCGCACAUCAGUGCUUUUUUAUAAACCAUCCCAGUGUAUGAUCUCCCACAAUGCUCUUCUUCUUCCUCUCACUGUGUUUCUGCAGCUGUUUGUAACAGUUAUAUUGGGAUCCAAUAAAAGUGUGUAUUUUAAACAGAA